UUGUUUGAAUUUUAUGCUCAAUCAAGAGACUGUUUGCAUUCUUAGACUUUAAGUGUUAAAAAUGGUGCAAAGGAGCAGUAGUGUGCACAGUGUGAGAAAAUGAAUGGGUCGGACCUCUAAAGAGAGCGUCCUUUCAUUUCAUUAAUGAUCCUUCCGCAGGUUCACCUACGGAAA
rnacentral:misc_RNA from 1 species